rnacentral:rRNA from 1 species
GACAGAGGAUGCAAGCGUUAUCCGGAAUGAUUGGGCGUAAAGCGUCUGUAGGUGGCUUUUAAGUCCGCCGUCAAAUCCCAGGCUCAACCCUGGACAGGCGGUGGAAACUACCAAGCUGGAGUACGGUAGGGCAGAGGGAAUUCCGGUGGAGCGGUGAAUGCGUAGAGAUCGGAAAGAACACCAACGGCGGAAAGCACUCUGCUGGCCGACACUGACACUGAGAGACGAAAGCUAGGGGAGCGAAUGG